rnacentral:rRNA from 1 species
UGAACGCUGGCGGCGUGCCUAAUACAUGCACGUCGAGCGAACAGACGAGGAGCUUGCUCCUCUGACGUUAGCGGCGGACGGGUGAGUAACACGUGGAUAACCUACCUAUAAGACUGGGAUAACUUCGGGAAACCGGAGCUAAUACCGGAUAAUAUAUUGAACCGCAUGGUUCAAUAGUGAAAGACGGUUUUGCUGUCACUUAUAGAUGGAUCCGCGCCGCAUUAGCUAGUUGGUAAGGUAACGGCUUACCAAGGCAACGAUGCGUAGCCGACCUGAGAGGGUGAUCGGCCACACUGGAACUGAGACACGGUCCAGACUCCUACGGGAGGCAGCAGUAGGGAAUCUUCCGCAAUGGGCGAAAGCUUGACGGAGCAACGCCGCGUGAGUGAUGAAGGUCUUCGGAUCGUAAAACUCUGUUAUUAGGGAAGAACAAAUGUGUAAGUAACUAUGUACGUCUUGACGGUACCUAAUCAGAAAGCCACGGCUAACUACGUG